UUAUAGUGGUCUUCAUGUCAAACUGUGUGCAAGCAAUCAUGGAAAAUACAUUUUUUAUCUCACACGCUGCGAAAUUCUGUAUUUGAUGAUUAAAAGGUCAAAACUAUGAGAUGAUGUUGUUUUAAUUUAACAGUUAUGCGAUUUUUAAAAUGCCAAUGAUGCCAAUGAUCUAGUGUUUUGGGAGAUUAGCCAUGAUUUUUGAUUGUUAGGAUUCUAGAACUUUGUGAUGGGAGCAACAGGUAUGCAUGCAGUUCUAUCCAAUCCAUGGUAUCUUCGCUUUUUGCUAUGUACAUGCUACCCUUCCUUGUUUAUCAUGCAAAGUGCUAUUUUCAAUUGGUUCUGAUAGAAAAAACUCAAAGUUGACUUUAUGUUGUCAACUUGGGACACUGCAUUUCUUCUUUGCCUGAGGGGCUUCUCUCUCUCUUCUUCUUCUCUGUCUCUCUUGCAAAGUCUGGAACAGAUAAAUUGGUUGUUGUUGUUGUUUUUUUUCGUUUAUUUUGUGCUUGUGCUUGUUACUGAACUAUCAGUGUUAUUUUAGUGGCAAGAUGGUAAAUCCAUACUUAUGCAUGCUUAAACCUUGUGCUUUUAUUUUGUUUAAGUAACACAAAUUACAUGGUUAUUAAUUUAUUUUUAUUUAUUUUAUUUUUUUACGACAUGCCCACAGCUUAAAUUCAGAAUUAGUUUGACUAAUGGAGGUGUUUUAUGAGAGAAUUUAGUCACGGCUGUUUGUGUGUGAGGCUGUUUGUGUGUACUCUGGUUUUUACUUCAUGUGCAACAUUAAUUCUUGUGGGAGGGAAAUUUCUAUUAAAUGUCAACCAGAAAGAGCUGACAGUGCAGUCACAUCUUUACAGGACUCACCUAGUGAGACAUUUUAAAUUAUAAGGCUUUUAACUGAACCUUACUGAAACAUCUGUACUUUAUCUUCGCUUAUCUUUAUUUUAAUUUUUUUUUGCGGACACACACACAUGGCCAACUGUUUGAUUUCAUCCUAGCUCAUAUACAGUAUACCUUAUUUUUGUGUACUGCAGUUUCUUUUAAUGUCAUUUGUGCUCUAUUGCAUAUUUUAACUUUGUGAGUGACAGAAGAGGAAAGGAGAGGGAGGACAUGAGUUGUAUGGGAAGAUGAAUAAUUACCAUGUAGCUUGAGCCAUUGCAAGCCCUUUUUUGCCCUCUACUUUAUGACAUUUACUAAAAUCAUGUUUUAGUGUUGCUAAUGCAUUUUCUGCUCAAGGAAAUAAAAUGCUCUCUAUCAUGCAUUUUUUAGUCUGUAUACAGAGCAGAAAGAUGGUAAAAUAUGUAUAUAUUAAGCAAUCAAAUGGAGAUGACUUUUUUUUAAAAUUAAGAUAGUCGUCAUUGUAUUAAAGAGGUACUGAUGCAACUGUAACCAGUCUCUGAC
ensembl:lncRNA